AGAGAUAUAGAGAGAAUGAAACAGGGAGACAGAUAUGGACAGAGAGAUAGAGAGUGAAUUAAUCAGGGAGACAGAUAUGGACAGAGAGAUAUAGAGUGAAUGAAACAGGGAGACAGAUAUGGACAGAGAGAUAUAGAGUGAAUUAAUCAGAGAGACAGAUAUGGACAGAGAGAUAUAGAGUGAAUUAAUCAGGGAGACAGAUAUGGAGAAGGUGGAGGGCCCGAGGUAAUCACACUCCAGCUGCUAGAAGCCUUGUGUAGUUCGGACUAUUAUGAUGAAUGAAGUAUGCAGUGACUAUAUUAGAGAGCUACCGGCAUGUCAUUGUGACAUCAUACACACUGCUUUACAUGUCAUUGUGACAUCAUCCACACUGCUUUUACAUGUCAUUAUGAAAUCAUCCACACUGCUUUACAUGUCAUUGUGACAUCAUCCACACUGCUUUACAUGUCAUUGUAACAUCAUACACACUGCUUUAAAUGUCAUUGUGACAUCAUCCACACUGCUUUAAAUGUCAUUGUGACAUCAUCCACACUGCUUACAUGUCAUUGUGACAUCAUCCACACUGCUUUACAUGUCAUUGUCAUCGUGUGGUCAGGAGAAGCAUCAAGGUGUGUCAGGUCAACAUCAUCCACACUGCUUUACAUGCAAUCUACCACAAACAGGCUCAAAUCAGAUAUGUGUUUAUUAUCAGAUGUUAAGGCAGGUAACAGUGAAAUGAUUGUGUUUCUAGAUCCAGCAGUACAUGAAAUGAUUGUGUUUCUAGAUCCAGCAGUACAGUAAAUGAUUGUGUUUCACCAGUGCAGUAAAUUAUUGUGUUCCUAGAUCCAUCAGUGUAAUAAAUGAUUGUGUUUCUAGCUCCACCAGUGCAGUAAAUGAUUGUGUUCCUAGCUCCAGCAGUGCAGUAAAUGAUUGUGUUUGUCGCUCCACCAGUGCAGUAAAUAUAUAACAGUACAAUACCAAUGCACAACAAAGCAACAAAAAAAAUCGAAUUAAGAAAGAUCAGAACAAGCAUAUCAGAGCCCGGAAUAUAAAUACGUGAUCUGCAUAGACAGUAUGAACAAUAUACAAGUAGGUGAAGGUAUGUACAGCAUUAGUUAUAUAGGAUGAGCUACGUCCAGCAUACAGUAUGUACAGCAUUAGUUAUAUAGGAUGAGCUACGUCCAGCAUACAGUAUGUACAGCAUUAGUUAUAUAGGAUGAGCUACGUCCAGCAUACAGUAUGUACAGCAUUAGUUAUAUAGGAUGAGCUACGUCCAGAAUACAGUAUGUACAGCAUUAGUUAUAUAGGAUGAGCUAUGUCCAGGAUACAGUAUGAAUGGCAGUAGUUAUAUAGGAUGAGCUAUGUCCAGAAUACAGUAUGAAUGGCAGUAGUUAUAUAUGAUAGAGUUCCAUGUGGUAGCCGGGUAGUGAUAGUCUCUAAGGUGCAGGGUAGAGUACCGGGUGGUAGCUGGAUAGUGAGUUGCUGUGCUUCACUGAGAAGAAUGCUGCUAGCUUGCACCUAACGCCUACACACACACACGCAUGAAUGCACGAACACACACACACAGAGAAAGAUUAAAGCACAAAAGGAUAAUGAUGGUGUCUUUCCGACAGCAGAUCAAUCACAUGACGUGGUCUGUCUGUCAAACAGUGGUAGAAAGAUCAAGCUAAAAUAAUUACAUCUUAUCCAGCCACACACACACACACACGGAGACACACAGACACACACACACACACACACACACACACACACACACACACACACACAGAGACACACACACACACACACACAGAGACACAC
ensembl:lncRNA